rnacentral:rRNA from 1 species
UACGUAGGGUGCGAGCGUUAAUCGGAAUUACUGGGCGUAAAGCGUGCGCAGGCGGUUUGUUAAGUCUGUUGUGAAAUCCCCGAGCUCAACUUGGGAAUUGCAAUGGAUACUGGCAGGCUGGAGUAUGGUAGAGGAAGGUGGAAUUCCCGGUGUAGCAGUGAAAUGCGUAGAGAUCGGGAGGAACACCGGUGGCGAAGGCGGCAUCCUGGACCAACACUGACACUGAGGAGCGAAAGCCAGGGGAGCAAACGGG